UGGUUCUGGCAUCGAUGAAGAACGCAGCGAAAUGCGAUAAGUAAUGCGAAUUGCAGAAUUUCCGUGAGUCAUCGAAUCUUUGAACGCACAUUGCGCCCUUUGGCAUUCCGAAGGGCAUGCCUGUUCGAGCGUCAUUAUCCUCUCUCAAACCCCGGGUUUGGUGUUGGAUCGAGUUGGACCGCCUCCCAAUGGCCCAACUGGUCUCAAAGACAAUGACGGCGUCCCAGGGACCCUCUUCGCACUGAGCUUUCCGGAGCACGCGUUGAGUUUAAAAGGGCCCGAGGACCCGGUCGCCUCUAUUAUUUUUCAGGUUGACCUCGGAUCAGGUAGGAAUACCCGCUGA
rnacentral:misc_RNA from 1 species